rnacentral:ncRNA from 1 species
GAAAAGUUUUAUUCUGGCUUAGUUGUUAUUUGUUUUAAUUUGGAUAUAUAUAUAAAUUUUUGUGGGAUUAGAGGGAAAUUAAUUAUCUUGAUGGUUUUAAUGUUUAUUAUGUGUUGAUUGUAGUAUAUGAUAUUAGGUAUGAAGGGAUUUUUGAUUUGGUUAAAGUUAAUGAUGGUAUUGAUAAAAUGUGUGCCAGCAGUCGCGGUUAGACAUGAGAUAUAAAUGAAUAUUUUUGGUUAAAGUAGUUAUUAGUUAAUAUGAUUUUUUGUUAUUAGUUGUGGGGUGAAAUAUGAAGAAAUGUUAUAGGAAUUUGUUAGGUAAUAAGAGGCUGUGAAAUCUGUUAUUUAAACUAGGAUUAGAUACCCUAUUAUUUUAGAUGUAAAUUAGUUUAACUUGAGUAGUAUUAGUUGGUCUUGAAACUUAAAGAAUUUGGCGGUAUUUUAGUCUUUUUAGAGGAAUCUGUUUCGUGAUCGAUAAUCCACGUUGGACCUUUCUUGAAUUAAUAGUUUGUAUAUCGUUGUUGUUGAGUAUUUUUGUAGAUAAUAAUGUUCUGGGUUCAUAGGUUGUGAAAUAUUUCAAAUCAAGGUGCAGUUUAUAUUUAAGUGGGAAUGGAUUACAAUAUAUUUAGUGUAUAUGGAUUGUUGGUUGUAAGAUAUUAUUAUGAAGGUGGAUUUAAUUGUAAUUUUAUGAAGAUUGUUAUUAUGAAUUUGCUCUAAAAUAUGUACACAUCGCCCGUCGCUCUCGUGAUUAAGUGAGAUAAGUCGUAACAUAGUGGUUGUAUCGGAAGAUGUAGCUGGAAUGAU